rnacentral:rRNA from 1 species
GAUGAACGCUGGCGGCGUGCCUAAUACAUGCAAGUCGAGCGAACGGACGAGAAGCUUGCUUCUCUGAUGUUAGCGGCGGACGGGUGAGUAACACGUGGAUAACCUACCUAUAAGACUGGGAUAACUUCGGGAAACCGGAGCUAAUACCGGAUAAUAUUUUGAACCGCAUGGUUCAAAAGUGAAAGACGGUCUUGCUGUCACUUCUAGAUGGAUCCGCGCUGCAUUAGCUAGUUGUUAAGGUAACGGCUUACCAAGGCAACGAUGCAUAGCCGAACUGAGAGAGUGAUCGGCCACACUGGAGCUGAGACACGGUCAAUGGUCCUACGGGAGGCAGCAGUAGGGAAUCUGCCGCAAUGGGCGAAAGCAUGACGGAGCAACGCCACGUGAGUGAUAGAGGUCUUCGGAUCGUAAAACUCUGUUAUUAGGGAAGAACAGAUGUGUAAGUAACUGAGCACAUCUUGACGGUACCUAAUCAGAAAGCCACGGCUAACUACGUG